UGGGGAUAUUGCACAAUGGGCGAAAGCCUGAUGCAGCGACGCCGCGUGAGGGAAGACGGUUUUCGGAUUGUAAACCUCUGUCUUCGGGGACGAAAAUGACGGUACUCGAGGAGGAAGCCACGGCUAACUACGUGCCAGCAGCCGCGGUAAUACGUAGGUGGCAAGCGUUGUCCGGAUUUACUGGGUGUAAAGGGCGUGUAGGCGGAGAUGCAAGUUGGGAGUGAAAUCCAUGGGCUCAACCCAUGAACUGCUCUCAAAACUGUAUCCCUUGAGUAUCGGAGAGGCAAGCGGAAUUCCUAGUGUAGCGGUGAAAUGCGUAGAUAUUAGGAGGAACACCAGUGGCGAAGGCGGCUUGCUGGACGACAACUGACGCUGAGGCGCGAAAGCG
rnacentral:rRNA from 1 species